CACCGCCCGUCACACCAUGGGAGUUGGUUUCACCGAAGGCAGUGCGCUAACCGCAAGGAGGCAGCUGACCACGGUGGGAUCAGCGACUGGGGUG
rnacentral:rRNA from 1 species